rnacentral:rRNA from 1 species
GACGAACGCUGGCGGCGUGCUUAACACAUGCAAGUCGAGCGGUAAGGCCCUUUCGGGGGUACGACGAGCGGCGAACGGGUGAGUAACACGUGGGUGACCUGCCCUCAGCUCUGGGAUAAGCCUGGGAAACCGGGUCUAAUACUGGAUAUGACUCCAUGACGCAUGUUGUGGGGUGGAAAGCCUUGUGCGGCUGAGGAUGGGCCCGCGGCCUAUCAGCUUGUUGGUGGGGUGAGGCCUACCAAGGCGACGACGGGUAGCCGGCCUGAGAGGGC